UACAGAGGUCCCAAGCGUUGUUCGGAUUCAUUGGGCGUAAAGGGUGCGUAGGCGGCGCGGUAAGUCGGGUGUGAAAUCUCGGAGCUUAACUCCGAAACUGCAUUCGAUACUGCCGUGCUUGAGGACUGGAGAGGAGACUGGAAUUUACGGUGUAGCGGUGAAAUGCGUAGAUAUCUGGAGGAACACCGGUGGCGAAGGCGGGUCUCUGGGCCGAUACUGACGCUGAGGAGCGAAAGUGUGGGGAGGCGAACAGG
rnacentral:rRNA from 1 species